GAUGAACGCUGGCGGCGUGCCUAAUACAUGCCAGUCGAGCGAACGGACGAGAAGCUUGCUUCUCUGAUGUUAGCGGCGGACGGGUGAGUAACACGUGGAUAACCUACCUAUAAGACUGGGAUAACUUCGGGAAACCGGAGCUAAUACCGGAUAAUAUUUUGAACCGCAUGGUUCAAAAGUGAAAGACGGUCUUGCUGUCACUUAUAGAUGGAUCCGCGCUGCAUUAGCUAGUUGGUAAGGUAACGGCUUACCAAGGCAACGAUGCAUAGCCGACCUGAGAGGGUGAUCGGCCACACUGGAACUGAGACACGGUCCAGACUCCUACGGGAGGCAGCAGUAGGGAAUCUUCCGCAAUGGGCGAAAGCCUGACGGAGCAACGCCGCGUGAGUGAUGAAGGUCUUCGGAUCGUAAAACUCUGUUAUUAGGGAAGAACAUAUGUGUAAGUAACUGUGCACAUCUUGACGGUACCUAAUCAGAAAGCCACGGCUAACUAUGUG
rnacentral:rRNA from 1 species